rnacentral:rRNA from 1 species
UGAGGAAUAUUGGUCAAUGGGCGCAAGCCUGAACCAGCCAUCCCGCGUGAAGGAAGAAUGCGCUAUGCGUUGUAAACUUCUUUUCCAGGGGAAUAAAAUUUUGUACGGGUACAGGACUGAAGGUACCCUGGGAAUAAGCAUCGGCUAACUCCGUGCCAGCAGCCGCGGUAAUACGGAGGAUGCGAGCGUUAUCCGGAUUUAUUGGGUUUAAAGGGUGCGUAGGCGGAUUGAUAAGUCAGCGGUGAAAACCUUCAGCUUAACUGGAGACUUGCCAUUGAUACUGUCAGUCUUGAGUACGGUCAAGGUAGGCGGAAUGUGUAAUGUAGCGGUGAAAUGCUUAGAUAUUACACAGAACACCGAUUGCGAAGGCAGCUUACUGGGCCAUUACUGACGCUGAUGCACGAAAGCGUGGGGAUCGAACAGG